AAAACUUUGUUGAAUGCAUAGUUUGGAAAUUAUUUUUUCACAUUUUGUAGAUUGUUUACUCUGUCGAUAGUUUCUUUGGCUGCGCAGAAGCAUUUUAGUUUAAUUAGAUCCAAUUUCUCAAUUUUUGCUUUUGUUGCAGUUACUUUUGGAGUAUUCAUCAUUAAGUCUUUUCCAGGUCCUAUGUCCAGAAGAGUAUUUCCUAGAUUAUCUUCCAGGGUUUUUGUAGUUUUGGGUUUUACAUUUAAAUCUUUAAUUCACUGAGUUAAUAUUUGUAUAUGGUGUAGGAAAGGGGUCUAGCUUCAGUCUUCUGCAUAUAGCUAGCCAUUAUCCCAGCACCAUUGCUUGCUUUUGUCAGUGUUGUCAAAGAGCAGGUGGUUGUAGGUAUACAUCAUUAUUUCUGGGCUCUCUAUUCUGUUCCAUUGGUUGUUGUCUGUUUUUGUAAUAGCAUCAUGCUGUUUUGUUUACUGUAACCCUGUAAUGUAGUUUGAGGUUGGGUAACCUGAUGCCUCUGGCUUUGCUCUGUUUGCUUAGGAUUGGCUUGGCUAUUUGCGUUCUUUUUUGUUUUCACAUAAAUGUUUAAAAAAAAAUUUUCUGGGAUGCCGGGCUGAUCAUGGAUGCUUGACAACCUGCGGGCAAGCGCCAGGAGGCUGAGCCAGUGACUCAGGACAGAGAGGUGGUACAGAUACAGUUCAAGGCCAGACAAUGGCAGGGGAACAGAAGCCCUCAAGUAACCUCCUGGAGCAGUUUAUUUUACUAGCCAAAGGUACCAGUGGCUCAGCCCUCACUGCUCUCAUAAGCCAGUUCUUAGAGGCCCCCUGGAGUGUAUGUCUUUGGAGAACUUCUGGAGCUGGCCAACUCCUGGAGCUGCAGGAGGUUGCAGAAGGAGCUAAUGCUGCUUAUUUGCAGUUGUUGAACCUGUUUGUCUAUGGGACAUAUCCAGAUUACAUAGCCAACAAAGAGAGCCUGCCAGAACUGAGCACAGCUCAGCAGAACAAGCUGAAGCAUCUUACCAUCGUGAGCUUGGCAUCAAGAAUGAAAUGUAUCCCCUACUCUGUGUUGCUGAAAGACCUGGAGAUGCGGAAUCUCCAGGAACUAGAAGACCUCAUCAUUGAGGCUGUCUACACUGACAUCAUCCAAGGCAAGCUGGACCAGCGAAACCAGCUGCUGGAAGUGCAUUUCUGCAUUGACCGUGACAUCUGAAAGAAGGAUAUCAAUAAUAUUGUCAAGACCCUGCAUGAAUGGUGUGACAGCUGUCAAGCAGUUCUGCUGGGCAUCGAGCAGCAAGUUCUGAGUGCCAACCAGUACAAAGAGAACCACAACCGAACUCAGCAGCAGGUAGAAGCAGAAGUAACCAACAUCAAGAAGACACUCAAUGCCACGGCAUCCUCUUCGGCUCAGGAGAUGGAGCAGCAGCUGGCUGAACGGGAGUGUCCCCCUCACGCUGAGCAGAGGCAGCCCACCAAGAAGAUGUGCAAAGUGAAAGAUCUGGUCUCCAACUGCCACUAGGGCCAGCUGGGGCAGCUGGCACUUACCAGGCCUGGGUCAGGUGGGGAGGGGACACCAAGGGCCCAUUUCCUGCCCUCUCUACCUGCAGUGAGUUCCAGACCUGCCCGUCCCCUCACCAGCGCCUCCCCACCCUCUUGGUACUGUUCCAGAAAAACUGUUAAUCCCCCUCACCCACUCCCUCCUCCCCCAGUUGUUCCUUCAGACUCAGGGGCUCCGCCAAUGCCAUCCCAACAGGGUCAGACACUGCCCAGCUUCCCUCCAGGAGGUUCUUGUCUCUGUGUAAGGGCUUGUCUCCCUCCCAGUUUUUCUUUUGCUCCAUGUCGUUUUGUCAAUGUGGUUACAAGCUGGAGGCAGCUUUAACCAGCCCCUAGUGAUGACUGUGAAGGAGGCCCCUCCCCUUGUGAGGAGGGGGCAUUCCUCUCCAGCCCCUCAUACCACAGUCCCCAUGAUGGUGCAGCGAUCUCUAGCCAGGCGUUAAGAUGCUCUGCUUUCCCUCUUCUGCCUCACCCCUUGUUGGCAGCUCCAGUUCAGGCCAUCGAGGGACGUGAUGCUGGGCUAUGUUUACUAAACCCACGGGUUUUCAGCCUCUUAAGCCCACCUUCAAUCCCCGAUUAAUUGAGAGUGCUGGGUUGACUAACCUCUGCUAUCUGAGCACAGACAGAGGGUGCUGUGGGUCUGCUGGGAGGCAGAAGUGGUUCCAGCUUGGUGUUCUCUCCUGGCCACUCUUCCUGCUCCCUCUGACUACUCAGCCUUGUAUUUGGUGUGUAGACCCCAGCUGCCCAUUGGGGCUGCCGGCUAAUGCUUGCUCUCUCCUGAGAUCUUUAAUUCCUCCUGGCUCCACCUGGGUAGGGAUGGUGGCACCAAUGUCCCUCUGUCUGCUGAAGGACCUGUUGCUGCUUCCGUGUGUCUUUCCACCCCUCCUUGGUGAUGACUGAAAGCCCUCUGAUGAUGACAUUCUCCUGGCAAGAGAAAAGGACUUGAACAGUUUCAGGUUAUAUUUUAAUUUUUUUGUACAGGUUCUGAUUCUAAUACAUUUCAACAUGCUUUUGUUCAAAAAAAAAUGUUUUUCUAGUUCUGUGAAGAAUGUCAUUGGUAGUUUGAUAAGAAUAGCAUUGAAUCUGUAAAUUGUUUUAGACAUUGCGGCCAUUUUAAUGAUACCUGUUUUUCCUAUCCAUGACAUGGAAUGUUGGUCUAUGUUUUUGUGUCUAUGUGUUGGUCUAUGUUUUGAGCCCUAUUUUGUAACUCUCAUUGUAGAGGUCUUUCACCACCCUAAUUGGCUGUGUGCCUAUUUUAUUCUUUUUGUGGUAAUUGUGAAUUGGACUACAUUUCUGAUUUGGUUCUUAGCUUAAAUGUUGUUGGUGUAUAGGAAUGCUUCUGAUUUUUGUGUGUUGAUUUUGUAUCAUGAAACUUUGCUGAAGUCUUUUCUCAGCUCAAGGAGAUUUGGGGCAGAGAAUAUGGGGUUUUCUAGAUGUAGAAUCAUGUCGUCUGCAAACUGAUAGUUGGACUCCUCUCUUUUUAUUUGGAUGCCCUUAUUUUCCUUUUUUUGCUUGAUUGUCCUGGGCAGGAUUUCCAAUACUAUGUUUAAUAGGAGUGGUGAGAGAAGGCAUCCUUGUCUUGUGCCAGUUUUCAAGGGGAAUGCUUCCAGCUUCUAUCCAUUAUUUGGUAUGAUGUUGUCUGGGGGUUUGUCCUAGAUAUGUCUUAUUAUUUUAAAGUAUAUGGUCUAGUUUAUUGGAGGUUUUUAACAUGGUAGGAAAAAUGUUAAAGCCUUUUCUGCAUCUCUUGAGAUAAUCAUGUGGUUUU